rnacentral:tRNA from 1 species
GCCCGGAUGGCGGAAUUGGUAGACGCGCGGGACUUAAAAUCCCGUGUCCAGUAAUGGACGUGCCGGUUCGAUGCCGGCUCCGGGUACAA